CCAUGUUCCUCGCCGUCCAGCCAGUUACUCCCGGAAGCGCUGGGACGGGUGGUGAGGGGUCCGGGCCGGAUGGCGCGCCUUAGAGAGGAUGCUGUUCGUGCUGCUUUCCGUGCCGUGUUUUCUGAAAGCUUAAAUACAGACCAGAAGAGGAGUUUGGGGCUUGACACCUGACAUCUUAACACCAGUUCCUGUUUCUUGAGGAAGGAAGAGGUAAAAUAAAUCAGCAUUUACUGUGUCCUUCUCCAUCCCCGGAAGUCUUCAUGAAGACCCUCUCAGCUUCUACUUGAACGUGAAUAUGAGCAACUGAUCAUCUGUUCUGCAGUCAGCCCCUGGCCUGAUUCUGACUCAUGGUAUUGACCUUCUCCAUCAUCACCUUCCACAAAUUUGAUUCCUAUCUAUUCUGCCUGGAAUGGUUCACGAGUAUAGUCACCAUUUAUGUUCCUGACGAAAGGUAUGUGCAAUGAAUAAGUCAUUGGUCUUGCCAAAUUCUAUCAGGUAAGCUUCAUUGUCAUUUCUAUCAUCAAUACCUUAUUUUCCAACUGCUGAUUUGUCUGCUUUGUUUUCAACUUCGCAUUCUAAUUACGUAAUUAUCAGUACAUCUUGAUUGAUGAAUGCAUCACGUUUGAUCAGUUUCAAACUGCGGAACUUGGUAAAAACCUUCAACUUCUUCAUCUUUCACAUUCAUAAUGUGUGUGUAAAUUUGAAUAAUAGUCUUAUUAACUGGUCUUCCUGGUAGGCCUGUGAAUAUUAUCCUAUUGUUCGUAGUGUUCUACUUCAGAAAAGAUCUUGAAAUGUUCUUUUUAUCGAUGAAUAUGAUGCCGUUCUCUUCAGUAUCUCAAUCCUGGCAUAGUAGAACAUAUCAUUGUCUAGUUUAAAAGGUCCAAAACCAAGUUAUUUCAGCUCACUAAUGCCUUGGAUUACUGACCUUUAUGCAUUCCAUUUCAUUUUUGAUGACUUCCAAUUUCCCUAGAUUCAUACUUCCUUCAUUCCACGUUCUGAUUAUUAAAGGAUAUUUGCAUCAGUUUCUUCUCAUUAUGAGUUGUGCCCCAUCAGGAAACGUCAUUAAAGUGGGAUCUACUUUGAGGAGGUAGCUCUUCCCCACUUGUAUUUUGAGUGCCUUCCAACCUAAGGGGUUAUCCUCUGUCAUUCCAUCAGACAGUGUUCCAGUACUAUUUGUAAGAUUUCACUGGCCAGUUGUUUUUAGAAAUAGGUCACUAGGUCCUUUUUCCUAGUCUGUCUAAAUCCAGAGCUCCACUCAAACCAGUCUACCAUCAGUGAACCUGGUGGUAUUUGAAAUACCGGUGGCAUAGCUUCUAACAUCACAGCAACAUGCAAGCCACCACACUACAACAAACUGACAGAAGAGUGGUGGGAGUUAAAAAUGAGAAGAACCAAAAAGAGUGCUUCUUCCAUGUCUGCUGAUUUAGAGGAUCCAUGAAAAAUUGUCAAGUGAAGAGUGAUUCAGAGAAAAACAUGGGUAGAAUGUGACCUAAUUUCCAUAAAAACAAACAAAUGAAUGUACUUACACGUGUCCCGGCAAAAAGAAGUGUGUAAAAGGGUACAUAUGUAUCUUUGGACACUGGACACUUUGGGGGAGCAGGUACAAUAUACUUAUGUGGGGAUGGCUCUUAUUAUCACUUCUGUAUACAAAUCUCUGUUGUUAAAUGUGUUAUAAGAAUGUAAAACCUUUUAAAGUUUAAUAACAUCAUACGUGUGUGUGUGUAUUUGAAACAUUUUUUUUUUACUAUUUUAUAUAUGUGUUUUUUAGUUAUCUAGUGUGGCUAUAGCAGAGAUAGCACAAGUGGACGGCUUUAACAAACAGAAACUUAUUCUCUCACAGUUUAAGAAGCAAGAAGUUUGAAGUCAGGGCGCCAGCUCUAAGAGAAAGCUUUCUCUCUUUGUGGCUCUGGGGGAAAGUCCUUGUCAUCCAUCUUCCCCUGGCCUAGGAAAUUCUCAGCGCCUGGACGCUGGGUCAAAAGGACAUGCUCCACUCCAGGCACUUCUUCCUUGGUGGUAUGAGGUCCCUCUCAUUUCUGCUCACUUUUCUCUUUGUAUCUCAAAAGAGACUGACUCAAGACUCACCCUAAUCCUGCAGAUUGUGUCCUCCCUCAUUAACCUAACUGCCUCUAAUCCUGCCUCAUUAACAUCACAGAGGUUAGAAUUUACAACACAUAAGUAAUCACAUCAGAUCACAAAAUGCAGGACAACCACACAAUACUGGGAAUCAUGGCCUGGCCAGGUUGACACACAUUUUGGGGGACACUAUUCAAUCCAUAACAAUAGAGAAAACACUGUCUUCAAUGCCAGAUUCAGAGACUUUUAUCCAUCUAUGAAGGGCAAACACAGAAAUUGAACAAAAUUCAGACCAGCGAAUUAUUGCUUGCUCUUGUAACUAAUGACUUCUUCUGGUCUCUAUGCCUCGAAAUGGCCAAAAAGAAUUCUGAGGAUUAAUUCAGUUAUUGCUAAAACAUCUACUGAAUUUGCAUGUCUACAGGUAAGGAAGAAUGCUUGACACCGUGUGUGAUUCAUUAAGUAACACAGGGACCCUUAGACUAUUGUUCUCCUUCUCUGAUAUGCCACUAUCACCUUCUCCCCUUGUUGCUCUCCUGAAAAACCCACACUUGUAUAUUCUAGGCUUUUUUUCAGGAUUCAAUUUGCAGGAAGUUAAAGAUAUAUCUUUGAAAGAUAAAGAAGACUUUGGCCACGUUGUCUUUAGACAGUCGAACUUCCCAGCCAACCUCUGUGCAGGAUGGGAAUUCACAAUCCCUCCUACUCAGUACCUCUGAGCAGGACGGGAUUUCUGUUUCAUUAUCAGGCGACUGUGGAAUUCACCCCUCUUCAGAAAACUUACUUUCCUUUGCCUCAAACUGUCCCUCUCAGGAUCUGUCACGGUCACUGUGAGAAAUUCACAUGGGCAGCCUGUAUGGAAGUGCCCAUCCUAGAGGCCCUGCCCUCCCUUCCUUGCUCCACAGGGCUUCCUCUGACACUUGGGGUCGCAUCUCCCAGGGAGUACACACCUCUGGCACUUCCAGGGAUUCCCAGGCCCUGGGAUACUGUGGAUGGGACUUGGAACUCAAUCUGUUUCUUCCCAUCCUCACCUUUGGUUAUCUGUGUUCUGUCUUCACCAGAUUUAGGAGGCCUUGUCUUCUCUUUGCUCGUUUCAUCUCAGUCAGGCUUUUCUAUUCCAACUCUCUGAUCUCAGAACAGAUCAGGUUAGACCACAGAAAAGAGAAAGACCAAGCAAACAUCACUGAUCUGUGCAGAAGCUGCUGAGAAGGGAUUCGAUUCUCAUUGGUUUAGGGUUUUAUGCCCACUGCUCACCGGCAGGCAGGUUCCCCCCAGAGUCUGGCUUCUGUCUGGUACCUUGUACUACAAAGAACUCAGUGACCAGACCACCUUCACAAUCACACCUCCCUUAGAGCUAUCUUUGCAGAGGCUCUUUGUCAGACUUCCAUAUCCCACUGAAAUCCUAUUUCUCUUUCCUUACAAACAUUAUGCUCAUUCUCAGGGCCCUGAGACCUCAUCUGCAGAUGAGUCUUGUCCUCUUCUCUCCUUGGCGGGGGAAGCUUUUGAGUGGACCUCAUGUCUUCGGACAGCUAUCCUGGGGCUUCUUCCACCCUGGUGCCGUAGGGCUGCAUCUCUCUUUGUACUAGAAGGGGUGUGGAAGGGGCACAAGGCUAAAAGAGGAUGGAUUUUCCAGGUGAGGUGGGUUUAAGAAGCUUGAAUGAACUUCUUCCCUGAAGAGUGCAUAUUUUGCAGUCCAGACAUCCUGCUUCUCUCAGUCUAAGGGUCCUAGCACGUCUUCAGGUGCUUUCUCCUUUGACCCUGAGGCCAUGCCUGCACCCUCUGCAGCCAGGUCUCCCACAUGUGUAGCAGCACCAGUAGGUGUGGUAGCCUGUUCAGCCCCUGUCUCCUCCUCCAGAUGCUCCUGGAGGUGCCUGGCUCUUCUUGCCAGGACUCCAGGAUGCUGACCAGGGACUCAGUGUUGGUUAAAGGAUGUCGGCCAGUGACCACGUGUCCUCAUUUCCUUUGAAGGCUUAGGCUAGUUGCCUGGGCAGAAGACAGCCAAGGUCAGUCUGAGCCUAGACACCUAGUGACCGACCUGUGACACUGCAGCGAGUGAUAGAUGUUAAUUUCCAUACUCAGGUAUCCGCAGGUGGUGGAUUCAGAGUGGUCGGAGGAGAAGUGUAACUAGAGAUAACACACUCAUGAGGGCACGGGCCAAAGGUCAGGGAAAAUAGCUGAGGUCGUGGAGCUCUAGCGGAGCCAGUCUAGGGCACAGGCCUCCCUCCUGUAUGUGGCAAAGAGGCGAUCCAUGUGCCGCCUUCUGCAGACUCUGGACUGCUGGGGCCCUGGUUGUCCAGAAUUCGGCCUUGUCUUUGGAGAAGUGACGCGCAUGCAGUGUGCCACCGGGGGCUGUGGCCCAGCAGAAGCAAAAUCUUGACAAUGGGGGCUUCAGUUGACUUUGCCUGUGCUCUCCUUUGGCUGAGUGACAUCGUGUGUUUCCUAGCAGGUGAAGGCAUUCGUGGAGAGAGGCGAUUUCCAUGCGUGCAGCAAAGUGUGUGCUGAGAUGAUGAGUCGCUGGAGACCGGGGUGGACUCUUCAGACCCAGGAUAGGCCUCUGGCAGGUAUGUGUCAAUGUUUUCUGCCCAUGGCACUCACCCGGGUAUUUGCAUAGAAUGUCGUCAGCGGAAUUAGUAGUCUCCGGAGAGGCUGCCACAUGUCAACAAGCUUCACCUGGCCAGAGUACACCCGUGAUGUAGCUCCCCAAUCAGUCACCUUCCCCCUUUGCUCUUUCGUCUCUAGGCACUCUAUCAGGCACUCCAAGCUGUGAAGUGACUCAGGGAGAGAAGGAAGAGAUUUCAGAGAAUGAACACAUACAGAGAGAGAGGCAAGAGAUGCUGAGUGAGGAUGUCUUGCGUACUGAUAUCCUGAGGAAAGUGGGAAAAUUGGACCCUGGCCUGCUCUGCCAAUGCCGUGAAGCAGUCCGCACCAGGGGCUCCCUUGUGCCUGCGUAGCCUUUCCCAGGGUGUGCUCAAAUCCUGUGGCCACUAGGUGUCCUAGGUCACAAUGGAGGACCCUGUGUCAUCUGCCUGGUGGACUGGAUCUCUGCCAUUGGCUGAGUCUUGUCACCAGGCCCAUCAUAAGCUCUGCCCACUCUUCCGGUGGGGAGACUCUCUCCAUGGUGAUGGCAAAGAAACCUUAGUCCCGCCCACCUGGCCUUGACUUCACCUACCUGGCCUGCUGACCCUCACUCAGACCUCUGUGUCGAUCAAAAUGAAUGUUCACCAGUUGCCCGGUGUCAGCAUCUGGUAUAAAGGAUUCGGGACCUUGCCUGAGGCAGAAGGCAGCCUAGGUCUGCGGGUACCUGGAAGUCUAGUGACUUGUG